rnacentral:rRNA from 1 species
UCGGCCAAGUCUGAUGUGAAAGCCCGGGGCUCACCCCCGGAACUGCAUUGGAAACUGGCCGGCUAGAGUGCACGAGGGGAGAGCGGAAUUCCCGGUGUAGCGGUGGAAUGCGUAGAUAUCGGGAGGAACAUCGAUGGCGAAGGCGGCUCUCUGGCGUGCCACUGACCCUCAUGGACGAAAGCGUGGGGAGCAAACAGGAUUAGAUACCCUGGUAGUCCACGCUGUAAACGGUGUGCACUAGAUGUGGGCGGCUUUGGUCCCGCCCGUGUCCAAGCUAACGCGUUAAGUGCACCGCCUGGGGACUACGGCCGCAAGGCUAAAACUCAAAGGAAUUGACGGGUGCCCGCACAAGCGGUGGAGCAUGUGGCUCAAUUCGAGGCAACGCGAAGAACCUUACCAGGGCUUGACAUAUACCGGACCGCCCGUGAAAGCAGGUUUUCCUUUCGGGGACCGGUAUACAGGUGCUGCAUGGCUGUCGUCAGCUCGUGCCGUGAGGUGUUCGGUUAAGUCCGGCAACGAGCGCAACCCGUGUCGUCAGUUGCCAUCAGUUCGGCUGGGCACUCUGGCGAGACUGCCCGUGUCAAGCGGGAGGAAGGCGCGGACGACGUCAAGUCCGUAUGGCCCUUACGCCCUGGGCUGCACACGUGCUACAAUGGGUGGUACAAUGGGACGCAAAACCGCGAGGUGGAGCAAAUCCCCAAAACCAUCCCCAGUUCGGAUUGGAGUCUGCAACUCGACUCCAUGAAGCCGGAACCGCUAGUAAAGGCGUAUCAGCAACGGCGCCUUGAAUACGUUCCCGGGCGUUGUACACACCGCCCGUCACAUCAUGGAAGCUGGCUGCACCCGAAGUCACUGACCGAACCCUGUUCGACGGGGACGGAGGUGCCGAA